rnacentral:rRNA from 1 species
GCCGUUGGGAGACUUGAUCUCUUAGUGGCGCAGUUAACGCGAUAAGUAGACCGCCUGGGGAGUACGGCCGCAAGGUUAAAACUCAAAUGAAUUGACGGGGGCCCGCACAAGCGGUGGAGCAUGUGGUUUAAUUCGACGCAACGCGAAGAACCUUACCAGGUCUUGACAUCCUAGAAACUUAGCAGAGAUGCUUUGGUGCCUUCGGGAAUCUAGUGGCAGGUGCUGCAUGGCUGUCGUCAGCUCGUGUCGUGAGAUGUUGGGUUAAGUCCCGUAACGAGCGCAACCCUUGUCCUUAGUUGCCAGCACGUAAUGGUGGGAACUCUAAGGAGACUGCCGGUGACAAACCGGAGGAAGGUGGGGACGACGUCAAGUCAUCAUGGCCCUUACGACCUGGGCUACACACGUGCUACAAUGGCCAGUACAGAGGGCUGCAAGCCCGCGAGGGGGAGCUAAUCUCACAAAGCUGGUCGUAGUCCGGAUCGCAGUCUGCAACUCGACUGCGUGAAGUUGGAAUCGCUAGUAAUCGUGAAUCAGAAUGUCACGGUGAAUACGUUCCCGGGCCUUGUACACACCGCCCGUCACACCAUGGGAGUAGGUUGCAAAAGAAGUAGCUAGGCUAACCUUCGGGAGGCCGGUUACCACUUUGUGAUUUAUGACUGGGGUG